GAAGAAGCGACGACAGCACAGUAUCCCUAAGCCGCGUUAGAUCCGUGCAAAGAAAGAACCAGAGGAAAAAAACUCAAGCAAAUCCAAAAAUCAAUCCGCAUAGGGAAAAAGACGAUCUGCGCGGCAGCUCUACCUACAUUUUUACUGUUCUACGGCUCCUUCCAGUGCGAUUUCACCAUAUUUGUGCUGGAUCUAAGGGCGCGAAGCAUUUAAUGGUAAGUUCUGAUCAAUUCGCAGCGGUUCGUGGCAGCAUACGGUGGUCCAGCAGCGAC
rnacentral:lncRNA from 1 species